rnacentral:lncRNA from 1 species
UUUUGCAACUUGCGUAGAGGCAUAAGAGUAUUGAUAGACCUAGAGAAACUAGAGUAUAAUAAGAGAGUUGCUCAUGCUAUUUGCUAUGUUUCUUUAGGAUGUUAAGUUGAGUGCUAGGAAGUGUUUCUUUUGGCUAUGAGCUCCCACCUUCAAAUCUCUCUCCCUUAUGAGUUCUUGCAAGUUCACUUGAGGAUAAGUAAAGAACAAGUUUGGGGGAGUUGAUAUCUUGCAUAUUUGCAUUGUUUUAACCAUCCAUUUUGUACACAUUAAUCAUAUAGAUUAGGAAUUAAGC